GGGAGAGAGAAUUGAGAAGAUGUGAGGAAAACAACCCUGCAAACUGUCAGUGUGAAACCAACACAUCUAUAAACUACAUCAACCUGAAGAUGUUGUAACUCAGACCUAUUGCAAGAGCUUUCAGUGAAAAAUUGAAUGAACUAUAGCCUAAAAUGGUCUAGAGGAAAAGAAGAUGGGCUCGCGUCCCACUAGAGGAGACUCAGAUUAUAUCACAUUGCACCUCUUGCUUCAGUACCACUCCUAACUUGAGGACUUAAUUGUCUUUUGGAUGAAUUGAUCUCCAGCUAUGUGGAAACAAACUGCUGUCUGAGCACACGGGGGGGAGAAAUGGCCUCUGGGAUCCAAGCGUGGUCUGCUCUAAAGAGAACAAAUCAUUUGGAUUGCAUGUGGAGACAGACACCACAGAGGGUACACACCAGACCUUCCCCAU
ensembl:lncRNA